rnacentral:rRNA from 1 species
UACAGAGGUCUCAAGCGUUGUUCGGAUUCAUUGGGCGUAAAGGGUGCGUAGGCGGCGCGGUAAGUCGGGUGUGAAAUCUUGGAGCUUAGCUCCGAAACUGCAUUCGAUACUGCCGUGCUUGAGGACUGGAGAGGAGACUGGAAUUUACGGUGUAGCGGUGAAAUGCGUAGAUAUCGUAAGGAAGACCAGUGGCGAAGGCGGGUCUCUGGACAGUUCCUGACGCUGAAGCACGAAGGCCAGGGGAGCAAACGGG